UUCAUCGGGCCCAGAGCUUAAGAAUCACCCUUCCUUGGCUCUUCCUUUCCCUCACCCUCCACACACAGUCUUCCAGCAAGUACUGACAACGCAUCACCAAAAUAUUUUUUUUAAGGAAGUGAACUUAGGGAAAAGGAAUGAACAAUGGGGGACAGGGAUGGAAAAACAAUGAAGAUGGAAGAUAAGGAUCCUUUCUGAGUUGACCACCAUUACAAGAAACUGGUUGCUUGAGUAGGACCUUCUGAGAUGCUUUAUAGAAUGUAACCGAGACCCUUCUGUCCAGGGAAAGAAAGGAGUAAGCAUUUAUUCACCAGCCCCCAUCCUCCUUUCCUGGCUAUUCACGUGUUGGAGCUGAGCCCAUUCCUGUGGGUACCCCAAGCCAGAAGGAGUUGAGGAAGUCUGGAACAGGAACCCCACUAUGGCAGGGGCUGGAAUAGGAAGUAAGCCCAAGAGGAUCUCAAGCUGUAUGAACAGUGUUUGCCAAAAUGCUCCAGGGAGCAGACUGUGUGUAUCUCUUCCCAACUCCGCUGAUCAGUGAUGUCACAUCGGUAGCUUGAAAUUGGCCCAGUGAGAAUAUUUACACCUUGGCAAUCGGCAAAAGCUACAAAUCAGGCUUCCUCCCUCCUCCCACCACACCAGCUGUUGAACAUUUCCUAGCAUAGCACUGAUGACAAGGUUCUGUUUUGCAGACCGCUUCAGCUUACCCCCUUCAGCUCCUCCUCAGAACUGCAGCCACAUUUGUUCUUUUUACAUUUCUUUAAAAACACAUCUGUGCUUCUCUCAACUGAAACACUGCAAAUAGUUUUCCUACAGCCUAGAACUCUAAGCAGGAAUUACUACUUGUCUGAGAAAUUCUUUCUCAUUUCUCACACCUUAGCUCAUGACAUUUCUCUAGGGAGCCUCUGCUGACCCCUAGAUCUGAUCCAAUUCAUGAGUUUUAUAAUCUCAAUCUUUAUACAAGUGAUGAUUGAAUUAAUAUCUGUUUUUCCAGGUAGACUACAAGUUCCAUAAGGGAGCCAAUCAUGACCAUUUUUUCUCACUCAUAGAGUUUUGUAUAUUUACUCAAUGUCGGAACAAAAUGCUUUCAAUCAACAGAUAUUAAAAGCACUUUUACCACUCUCCCCAUGAGUGAAGCUGCAAUUGUUUUAGGAGUUUUGAAAGAGUCCUCAUACUUGAAAAUGUAAGGAGCCAUGUGGAGAGCACAAGAUGUUUUUAUGGGUGUGCACAUCUAGCUAUAAUCCAUUGAGUGAAAUCUUGGUCACCUAACUGCAAGGGACAUGAGGAAUGCACUUUAGCUAAGCACCCAGGAAGAGAAGGAUAGAAUAAAUCUGAUGAGCAUCUAGCCACACUCUGCCACAGUCUGCUCUUUCAUAUAUCAAAUAUCCACCCACUCUUAUACUCUGACAGGAAACAAGGAGACAACCCAUAGAUCCACAAAGCAACUGCAUCAGUUCAGAAUCUAGGAUCUCUGGCUGUUUGUACUCUUCCCCAUCAAGCCCAGAUGUGGCUCCUUCUGGUCUAGUAAAAAUGUGUACCAAAUUUACAGACCAUUUUCAUCUUUUCCCCAAAGCACACAACAUCCAGUAAUGGAGUAGGUAUAGGAGAACCUCAAUUAAAACUCCACUAAUGAAAGGGGAAAUGAGAAGAGGCAUAGCAAUCACAAGGCUGAAGAAGUUACAGUAUCCUGCUGCAUCAGCACUGAGAAGUCCCCUGAGCUGGAGAAGUUCUCUGAGUAAACAAGAAUUCUGUUCUGAGAGGCACUCGCUUGUCCAUUUUUUCAGUGGCCUCUGGAUCCACCCUGGGAAGUUUUUUCCUUGCUCCUUGGCCACAUCUUACUAUUAUCCUCCAUGGAGACUAUCUAAGCCUUUGUGAUCCACUUCCAGAUUCUGCAUAAUUGUGCUAGUAAAUCUCUGAAGUGAAGACACCGGAAGACGAUGUAAUUACGGAAACUAUGACAGCAAAGGAGCAACAAGCCAUCUAUUGAUUGUAAUCAUUAAGCUGCAUUCUUCAGAGACUUCACGAAAACUAAGAAGAUAUCCUGAACAAAGAUGUAUGGCCACACGGCUAAGGCCUCCCUCACUUACAUAGAAGAAGUGCCUGUCUGCCAGUGUGUUUGAUUUCACAAGUGUUAAAAAUAAAGUAAAUUAAAAGCACUACCUCCGAGUCAAUGAGACUCAGUUCAGCAUACAUUAGUUAAACACCUAAGUCCUACAUGCUGUUUUGGUGCUAAGUGUGCUGAAAUA